rnacentral:rRNA from 1 species
AGUGAACGCUGGCGGCGUGCCUAAUACAUGCAAGUCGAACGGAGUGGCGCACGGGUGAGUAAUGUAUAGCUAAUCUGCCCUACACUAGAGGACAACAGUUGGAAACGACUGCUAAUACUCUAUAGUGUAGGAUGAGGCUAUAUUGUAUCAGCUAGUUGGUGAGGUAAUGGCUCACCAAGGCUAUGACGCAUAACUGGUCUGAGAGGAUGAUCAGUCACGCUAAAACAGAGACACUGUGCAGACUCCUCCGGGCGGCAGCAAUACGGAAUGUUGCUCAAUGGAGUCAUCCCUGAGGCAGCAACGCCGCGUGGACGACGACCCUUUUCGUAGCGGAAAGUCGUCUUGUUAGGGAUGCGGUACCUAACGAAUAAGCACCGUCUAACUCCGUGCCAGCAGCCGCGGUAAUAC